GCAAGCAGGAAAGGGUUAACUCAUGGAGCUGUUUCCUUUCCUCCUUUCUCUGGCUUUAACAUCUCACCACACUCCUUCCUAAAAACAAUUGGGUGGGCAGCUCCUGUUCCCCGCCCUGAGAAGCCUUGCUGGCCCCUGGGGCUUCCCAAGGCCACAGCAAGCAGCCCUUCCCUGUGCAGGGCGAGGUGGCUGCCCCAGCGGGGACCAGGGCUCUGCUUCCUGCCUGAAGACUUGCCUGAGCAAUGGCACUGUCUCUAAUUGAGGACAAUUAGAAAGAGCUCACAUCCUGUAGGAGCGGAUGGCUGAGCCCUGGAGUUUACCCUUUAAUCUCCAUCCACCCCAGAGUGCUCCUGGUGAGGCGGCGGCGUGGGGGAGCUGAGGGCAGGCGAGAAAUGGCUCCAUAAAACAACUUGGACUUUUCUGAGAUCAAAUCAUUUGCUACACAAGGAAUCACCAGAGGACUGGCAGAAACAGGAACAGUUUCUGGGGCAUAUCUGGGCACAGUACUUCGAGACACAGCCCUUGGAUCACUUCCAGCGCCGGAAAGGUCAGCCACAGGAUUUCAAAACCAUCAUCAUAAAGGCAGCACUGAGAUCCUGAAUGAGAGGAGGGGCUGCGGGACCUCCCCAGGCUGAACUCUCCCAACGCAGAGCUUGGGAGGAAGCAGAUACGUGUUCCCGUAUGGACACGGUCCUGCUGGUGAUCCCUUUAUCUGCCUUCCUCUCCCUGCUCCCCUCCCAAAGCCAGGGGCACAGACAGCCCUGGGGUGCAGGGGAACACCAAAAAUGUUUCCAGAACCGCUUUCAACUCUGCUUUCCUUUGAUUGAAACAUUUCAAAGGCUUGUAAACCUCUCCGCUCUUAUUUUUUUUACCCUCCCUCUGGUCCUGAGAUAAAAUACAAUCCCCGCUCCCUUUCCGUGUAAGCAGUAAUUGGCAGUACCCCUCCAAUCCACGCCUGCUCCUCAUAAAAACAGCCCUGUCUGGCUGCUGCUGGCUGAUAGUUUUUAUUGUGAACAAACAAAUGUCUUUAAAGACAGGUUUGUGCUUUUCCUCCCAGCUCUUCGUCCCUGCAGACACAUCUGCCGGCUCAGGGCUCGUGCCGCCCCCAGCCCGCUCCCUCCAUGUGCCUCCCGGGGAGUUUCCUGGAAUUUACAGCUGGUGAAACCCUGCAUGCACCAAGGGACGGACUGAUGGACAGAACGACAGGGCUCAGCAGCCCCAUGCAUGCCCCCCACAGGCACACCCUGACCCCAGACCCACCAGGUGUCCCCCCAGGUGGAGCUGAGCAGGAGGGCAGAAGGUAGGGACAGGCUCAGCACAGCUCCACUGCUACAGCAGCCACAUGGCAAUUCUGCCUCUCCAGAAACUCCAUCUUGUACGUACAGGAACAGAACUGCAAAGGUCUCCCUGUUACAAACUAUAAAUAGUCUCUUUAUUGUAAGCAUUUGCAGGGAGGCAGCCACCCUAAUAUCUGGCCUUCUUCACAUGGCUUACUCAAGAUUACUGUCAGGCUUAAGAGACAAAUGCAAAUGCCAAGGUCCUUGCUGCCCACAGUCUCUCACCUGUCCAGUGAGGAGGAGGAGCCUGGGGAACGACCCACGAUAUUUUCAGGUUGUUCAGGCUCAGCUGCAGAGAACAUCCAGCCUCAGCACCCAAACCACAGCCCAGGAGGCUUCAUGUACUCACACAGUGACACGAAGGAUGCCUCACAUGCACAUGCGAUGUAAAGUGCUUUAUAAAUGUGUACAGUUCUCUCGAGGUGCAAUAACAUUUGCCUAUUAUUAGAAAUACUCUGGCUAUCAAACCAGAAACCGAUAAGCUAUAAAUGACUCAAGUUAAACAAGGCUGUCACACGUUCACCAGUCCAGAAAGUCACCCCCUGCUUUCCAGCCAGAGCUUUCUGCUUUCCAGCAUUAAUACCCUUGGCCAAAAUGCCAACAGGGUGAACUUCCCGGCAUCUCACAGCUCCCAUUGCACAGCCCACCCCAACGGAAUGCCAAGCCAAAUGUGCAGGUGGCAGUAGGAGAACCCUUCCUGGCAGUGAGAACUGUGGAGAGAGCAUCCACUGCCUGCUGGGUCUGGGCAGCCACCCGGCUCUGCCCACACCACGGUGCCCCAGGAACUCCUCACACCUUUGUGCCUCUUUACUAAAGAAAGAGAAAAGCCCCAGCCUCAAGUGUGGCUCUGGCCAUCCCCAUCACUCCAGCUCUGGCAUGCUGCACUUGCCCUUGGCUGCAUUCCUCACUGCUUGUAGGGACACCAGGGGCCACCAGCAAACUCCUGCCUCAGGACACCCCUUGGAGACUGAAAGGUGAACAUUGUGACCUCCAAGCGCUGCCCAUGAACUGCUGGCACUGCCUCCUCAUACCAGGGACAAUCCCAGGGACAGGAGGCCCCAAGAGCAGCAUCCAGAGCACUGGCUGCCCAGCCACAGCCCAGGAGCAGAAGGACAGCAGCACAGCACAAAUCCAGCCUCAGAGCACAGGACACCAGAGCAGGAUCAAAAUUUCUGGCUGGGUGGGAGCUCUGAAUCUCCCUGGAUGCCAGUAACCUGGCUGAAGGCUGAGCCUUGCAGUGGGCUCCCCAUCCAGCCAAACAAGGAAGCGUUUCUCAACAGCAGCAACAGCCACGACUCGGAGCAAUACGGUAAAUCUAAUCUACCCUUCCACCCUCUUUUGGCUUGCAAGUCAGGCAGCUCAUUCUUUUUCCUCUCUGAGUUCUCAGGAGAAUUCCCUCUGCUAAUUUCUUCUUUCCUGUAAACAAACUUCAAAUGAAACUUUCAUUAGAAAACAGAAUGCAAUCCA